rnacentral:lncRNA from 1 species
GGGCAAAGUUGUUUUAGCGAUCUGGUUGCAACUAAGUAUUGGAGUUGUUGUGCCUUGAAGCUAGAAACUGCCUUGAAUUUCUACAUAGGGAAAUGUAAUCUAUUGCUUUCUUACAGAUUGCCAUUUGCCAGCUGACCUGUGACACAGCAGCAGUGUAUUACAUUUUCAAUGAGCAGUCUGUCUGGAGCUGCUAGUGGGAGAAACUGCUUCCUGGUUUCUAGGUUCUUUGCUCUGGGGUAGUUUAAGAUAAAUAUGGUAUCUGCCUCUACAUCAGUAUUAAGGGGAGGCAGAUGAUGAAUAAAUGAACAAAAAAUAUAAUAAUGGAUAUGUAUUUAUAAGUGCUAUGAAGAGAAGAAAUCCAAGCAAGAAGAGAGUGAAAUGAGGUAUCCUGUAAGAACAAAUUGCUGCCUCCUCCAGGUGGAAAGGGAUCAAAUAUAAUUAAUCUGUGUGUGCCACACAGUAGCUUGAUAGUUUAAUUGAGGAAUGUUGACAUAUUGAGAGCUCAGCAUUACUUUCUGCUAUCAGCAGUGACGGCAUAAGAGCUGUAUCCUAACUGCACUGCUGAAUUUGGGCUUCCUGUGGGGGCACGGCAAGUGCCCUCUUUGAGAGUGAGGAGGCUGAGAGUCUCACACCAACAGGAAUGAGUGCUUUGAAAUUAACUGGUGUUUGGAAAUUGAUCUGCUGACUGAGCUGGGCUCUCAAGCUCUUCUCGACAACCAUGUAAGAAGCGAUGACAAUUGUACUACUUCAUAACAGCUGCAUGGAACUCUGACACACACUUCACAGCAACCAGUCAUCUAUAUAAACCAAUUUCAGGAGCAAAAUUGCAUGGUGCCUCCACUCUGUUAUAAACACAAUGAUAUCCACUCAAAGCUGAUAAAUGCACUACAUUUCUCUGCAGCUUAAAAGAAUAAGUUCCUUGCAUCUGAGAUUUCCUUCCCACAAAUUAAGUCAUUUUUUUUGUCCUAGCCAUUAAUUUAAAACUUUAGAAAGAACAAGACCAUUUAGAUUUUGAAUACCCGUAAAAUAAAGAAAUUUCAGUCUUAACAUUUUGGUUCUCCAACUAAAUACACUUUCAAUUUUUUUUGGAAUAUCUCUGCCAGACUUUCCUAAUUGAUGAUCUGAAGGAGAAAGCAAAAGGAAGAAGUAAUUAAGGUUUAAAAUACUUACCACUGCCAUAGCAAUUCACCAGUUAAUUACAAUAUCUUUUCAUAGGAUUAUACACAAUACAAUUCUUAUUAUUGAAUAAAACAUCUACAAGCAACCUGGAAACUAUUGUUAAAACUUAAAUCUUAACUACCCUGUGUUUGGUGAAUAAUAAAGCUUUGGUGAAUCCGUUAAUAAUUCCAAUAGAG